UUGGAAAGUGGAAGAGAUUUAGCAACGAAUUGCCAGAAGAACUGACUUUUGUUAGGCUGGUGAGUGAUGGAAAAGGGAAUCUGUAUUUGAUUGGUGGAAUUGGCAGAAAUGGGAUUUCAAAGAUGAUGAAAUUGUGGGAAUUGGGUGAUGGUGGGAAUUGGAUGGAAGCUGAAAGUUUGCCUGAAAUGAUGUGUAGAAAAUUUGUGUCAGUUUGCUACCACAACUAUGAACAUGUGUAUUGCUUUUGGCAUCAAGGGAUGAUCUGUGUUUGCUGCUAUACAUGGCCAGAGAUAUUGUACUACAAGGUAUCAAGGAAGACCUGGCAUUGGCUGCCCAAAUGCCCUUCAUUGACUGAUAAGUGGAGCUGUGGCUUCAAGUGGUUUUCCUUUGUUCCACAGCUGUACGCUUCAGUGUGAUGCACUGGUGUUUUCUGGUCUGGUCUCAUUGUUUGUAUUAGUUGUUUUUGGUAAUCUCCUCCUUUUUU
rnacentral:misc_RNA from 1 species